AACGCACGAGACCUGCGGACCUGCGGAAGGAUCAUUAAUGUAGCCUUUGUCCACUUGUAAGUCCAGCUUGAGGGAGGUCUUCUAGAAGAUCUUCUUCACAGUUGGCUUACAAGCACCCGUGCUUAUUUUAAAGUCUUUAAUCAGUUUACUUUUCUUGUACUGAUCUGAACGAUCAUGCAAGGAUUGAAAUUGAUAAAAAAUCGCAACAUUGACAAGCAUCGACUGUAUUUGUAGGUAUGG
rnacentral:misc_RNA from 1 species